rnacentral:rRNA from 1 species
UACGAAGGGUGCAAGCGUUACUCGGAAUUACUGGGCGUAAAGCGUGCGUAGGUGGUUUGUUAAGUCUGAUGUGAAAGCCCUGGGCUCAACCUGGGAAUUGCAUUGGAUACUGGCAGGCUAGAGUGCGGUAGAGGGUAGUGGAAUUCCCGGUGUAGCAGUGAAAUGCGUAGAGAUCGGGAGGAACACCAGUGGCGAAGGCGACGACCUGGACCAGCACUGACACUGAGGCACGAAAGCGUGGGGAGCAAACAGG